rnacentral:rRNA from 1 species
UACGUAGGUGGCAAGCGUUGUCCGGAAUUAUUGGGCGUAAAGCGCGCGCAGGUGGUUUCUUAAGUCUGAUGUGAAAGCCCACGGCUCAACCGUGGAGGGUCAUUGGAAACUGGGGAACUUGAGUGCAGAAGAGGAAAGUGGAAUUCCAAGUGUAGCGGUGAAAAUGCGUAGAGAUUUGGAGGAACACCAGUGGCGAAGGCGACUUUCUGGUCUGUAACUGACACUGAGGCGCGAAAGCGUGGGGAGCGACAGGA